rnacentral:hammerhead_ribozyme from 1 species
AUCCAGUUGACGAGUCCAAAAUAGGACGAAAUGUGCAUCCUGGAG